rnacentral:rRNA from 1 species
UACGUAGGGGGCAAGCGUUGUCCGGAAUCACUGGGCGUAAAGGGCGCGUAGGCGGCUCAUGAAGGCUGUGGUGAAAGUCCGGGGCUCAACCUCGGAUCGGCCGUGGCGACUCGUGGGCUGGAGCACUGUAGAGGCGGGUGGAAUUCCGGGUGUAGCGGUGGAAUGCGUAGAGAUCCGGAAGAACACCAGUGGCGAAGGCGGGUCUCUGGGCAGUAACUGGACGC